rnacentral:rRNA from 1 species
UACAGAGGGUGCAAGCGUUAAUCGGAUUUACUGGGCGUAAAGCGUGCGUAGGCGGUUCGCUAAGUCGGUUGUGAAAUCCCUGGGCUUAACCUGGGAACUGCAGUCGAUACUGGUGAACUAGAAUGCGGUAGAGGGUGGCGGAACUCCGGGUGUAGCGGUGAAAUGCGUAGAUAUCCGGAAGAACACCGAUGGCGAAGGCAACCACCUGGGCCUGCAUUGACGCUGAGGUACGAAAGCGUGGGGAGCGAACAGG